CCUACGGGUGGCAGCAGUGAGGAAUAUUGGUCAAUGGGCGUAAGCCUGAACCAGCCAAGUCGCGUGAGGGAUGAAGGUUCUAUGGAUCGUAAACCUCUUUUAUAAGGGAAUAAAGUGUGGGCCGUGUCCUAUUUUGUAUGUACCUUAUGAAUAAGGAUCGGCUAACUCCGUGCCAGCAGCCGCGGUAAUACGUAGGAGGCGAGCGUUAUCCGGAAUGACUGGGCGUAAAGGGUGCGUAGGUGGUUUGGCAAGUUAGUAGCGUAACUCCAAGGCUCAACCUUGGAACUACUACUAAAACUGUUGGACUUGAGUGCAGGAGGGGCAACCGGAAUUCCUAGUGUAGCGGUGGAAUGCGUAGAUAUUAGGAGGAACACCAGUGGCGAAGGCGGGUUGCUAGACUGUAACUGACACUGAGGCACGAAAGCGUGGGGAGCAAACAGGAUUAGAUACCCGAGUAGUC
rnacentral:rRNA from 1 species